UUUGGUGAUGAAGUGAAGUCAGUGUCAGUGUAUGAGGGAGAUUCUGUGACGCUACACACCGACAUUAAACUACAGACAGAUGAUCUGAUACUGUGGAAGUUUGGACUUAACAAGACUCUUAUAGCAAGAAUCAACGGAGUGGCCAAAGAUAUCGCAAUAUUUGAUGAUGUUCUUGAUGGGAGAUUCAGAGACAGACUGCAGGUGAAUAAUCAGACUGGAGAUCUCACCAUCACAAACAUCACAACUAAUCACUCUGGAGAUUAUAAAAUAAUCAUCAGCGGCAAACAGAAUACCUUAUUAUACAGAGUCAAUGUAUAUGGAUUCUCCAGAUACACCCUCAUUCUUAUUUGUUGUGCUGUUGGAUGUCUGAUGAUUUUGGCUUUAGUUCUGAUCUGCUGCAUCUGCAGGAAACGAAAAAACACAGAACAACGGG